rnacentral:lncRNA from 13 species
CUCUGUCUUUCAGGUGGUCUUCAUAUUAUGAACAGGCUGCGGUGUGGUUGGGAAAGUGGAAAUGUACUGGUAUGGUCAGGAACAGAAGAUCUGUAUUUAAGUCCUCAAUCUGUCUCUACCCAGUUGUGUGACCAUGAGUGGAUCAUUUUAUCUCUCUGAUGUUUGUUUUUCUCAUCUGUAAGAUGGAGAUUCAAAUUGCCGGGCUGCUAGUCCCACAGGUUGCUGAAAGGACCAGAGAAGCUCAUGAAAACACACUGUGGCCCAUAGAACUUGUGGAAAUACCAGGACCUAUUCUGAUGGGAGACAUUGGAUCAUUUGCUGAAAGAAGACAGCACUCCAAGAUACUGAGAUUCCCACUCUGCCUUUACUAUCUGUGUAACUUUGGACAAGUUACAUACCCUUUGUGAGGUUAUCACCAGGAAAAUUAGGAUCAUCAUAGUGUUUUAUAGAAGUCGCAGAAGGUGGCCUGGAUCAUUUGCUUUAAAGCCCUCUGUCUUAAGGAACCUGGAGCACCCCCUAUUGGAGCUGUAUCGGAUACCUCCCACUGGAGUAUUAUCAGGUAGAUAAUAGAUAUAGGGCUAUUCAGGUUAUCUAUUUCUUCUUGAGGAAGCUUCA